CGAGUGUAUUUUCAGUCUGAGAUAUGUUACCUAGGCCUUUAUAUUGCGCAAGUGUUAGGUUAUGUAUUCGAACUGUUGUAAUGAGUGUAUGUAAAACAAAAAUAAUCGUCAAAUUAUUACAGUAGAAUUUAUUUUAAACUAAAAUUUGUAUUCAAUAUGUCUGAACAGAUAUUGAAUAUACUCUGUAGCUCUAAGAAGAUUGAAAGAGAUGGAGGUGUUGUUCACUUACAUAAAAUGUUAUCAUCUAAUGAUCCAGAAGAAAGAAUUUGUUUGGAAACAAGAAUUAUUCAAAUGCUGACAGAUUCAGAUGAUACGCCUUGGGAAACUAAACAAGGUUGUCUGUUGGGAUCUAAAGAAAUAAUUCAAAGAGUUGACUUGAAUAAUGAGAGGGAAUCAGAAUUUAUCAGCAAGAUAACAGAUAUAUCAAGGAAACUUUUGACUGAUAUUGAAGUUAGAGUGAGAUUGGAAUCUGGUGAAGUGUUUGGCGCUCUAUGCCAGAAGAUAGGACCGACUGUGUACGAAGAAGAAAAAGAUUUUGUUUUAAAUUUAAUCCUCGUCAACUUGGAAAGGCAAGUUUGUGUUGAUGAUUCAUCACGAAUUGAACAAAUUGAAUCAGAAAAGCUGUUUGAAAAACUAGUAGGAAACGGGCAAAGAAGAAACAGUGCAGAUGCAGCUCAGAUAUUCCAUGACACAGCGGGAUGGAAGAAUCUAGAAACAAGCUUGAAAUGUCUGCAAGCCAUGGUGUUGGGUUGUGGCACAAGUUUUCAGCCCUAUGUGAAUCAGGAACUCCUCAACUUGUUGUUCCGCACAACUAUGCACACCAACCGUUUUGUGCGGGAGACAGGCUUCUACGUGUUUUCUGCAUUAGUCAAGUGUGGAAACACAGAAAAAGGUAAAGAACUUGACACAAUGUGUGAUACAAACCCAAUUUUCGUGUUUGGACAUGAGUUCAGCCAACACUUAGCUCUGGGUCUGGCUGAUAAUUGGAGUCAGGUUCGGCUUGCUGCGUCAGAUGCAACACGUCAUUUCCUGUUGGCUCUCCCCUCCUCGCAAGCCAGAGAAACGUUUUAUCCACAACUGUUACCACAAAUGUGUCUAAACAGGUAUUAUAUUGCAGAGGGGGUGCGAAUUUACUCACAGGAAACUUGGCGACAGGUGAUGGGCAGCCACGGACGUAGCAUGGUGCAGCGUUAUAUUGCUCCCACGGUCACGUACUAUACUACAGCUACGCAGUCGGAUAACCACGCUGUGCGUGAAGCAGCGUGUGCAUGUAUAGCGGAGCUCGCAUCUAAGAUAGACCAAUCUGCAGUCAGGCCCUUCGUUCAAGUACUAUUGGAUACAUUGCUUACUUGCUUCCAAGAUGAUAGCUGGCCUGUGCGUGAUGCCGCGUGCUUGGCCUGUGGUCACUUUAUCCUGUGCUUCAGUGAGGAGUCUACUCACUCCAUGGAGGCUCUGUACCCUCUGUUCUUCGCCAACUUAGGAGAUCCCAUCUCUUCUGUGAGGCAAGGGGCUGCGGCAUCCCUUGGCAAUGUUGUGCGAGCUUAUGGCCAUCCUGCUCUACAGAUUGUCCUUGAGCAGGCAAAAACAUACCUGGGAGCUGUAAAAGACCAACUGGCUGAGACGGACAAGUACACUCAGGACAGUUGUGAGGGCCAAGCCAGAUUUGGUGUCAUCAAGCGACAACGUGACAAUGACAUGGAGCUUCACACUGACCAGCAGAUGUAUUCCUGUGGCUCUCUAGCUCCGAAAAUGGGGAGAGGUGGAGGUUGUUCUAACCACAAGUUCAACAGGCCGUCCCAGCCUUGGGAGAAAGCUGAUGGUUGUGUGUACCUGCUUGGAGAGCUGAGCUCUAUCCCUGAGGCCAGCAAGGAGGUAUUAAAGCUACUGCCGCUGCUCGCCAAUGCCUGCCAGUAUCAACACUACCCGCAGCAUGUUGUAUUGCUAGAGACCGUCUGCAAACAGCUGCCGUCGCUCGCCAAACAUCUCGGUGUUCGUGCGUUCAAGGCGUACCUGGAUCUCUUCCUCGACCCUGUCUUUAGGAGUAUUGAGAGUGAGAAUGCUCUGACGUCUAGUGCAGCUAGUCAGUGUCUCAAUCAGCUGAGCAGUCUGAUUGGUCCAAAUAUAUUGCGGGCUCGAGUCAACAGCUAUAAUCCCAGGUACUUGGACAGGUUGGAUGCCAACAUUUUCAUUGCACCCUUCUAAAUGACACCAAGAAAAUCUCUAUCUGUAACUUCAUCAAAGUCAUAUUACAGGUUAAAUGACGAAAUUCUAAAUGAAUCUUGCUAUAUAUGCAGUGUCAACUGUCGUUUACUUACAAUUCUAUGUUCAUUGGUGCAAGACUCACCAUAUUUGCUCCUUCUAUAGUUCCUCUGCCUUAGCCAAACCAGUAAUGAUAUAGUAAAUAAUCAACAUGUAUUAUUGUACACAUAUCUUUGUGUCUUUGCAAGACACCAAAUUUAGACAUCAACAGUAAAUACUAAAUCUUCAAAUGCUUAUUUAUUGAUAUAAAUAAAUUGUGAUGUUACUGUGUUAUAGAAUUAAUUAUAUUAUGGGUUUCUCAAUGACUAUCAUUGAUUUACAAAUUUACUAUUAGUUUUUAUGUGAACAGUACACAAUUUAUUAUUUUUUUUUUUUUUAAUGAAGACAUAUAGUUAAACUUAAAAUUAGAUAUAAAGAAAUACCUGAAGACUUUUGUAGUUUAAAUCAUUAUAGGUAGAUAGUUGCAUAGUUUCAGAUACGUAAGAGUUUAAGAUCAAUUUGUAGGAAAUAAUCACAAAUAAAUUAAUUAUAUUAAUUCGUAAUAUUAUUAAUGUUUGGUAUUUGUGUUAUUUUAUUUUGGGGUUUUUACUUAUCUUCAAUUAAAAUUCUUGAUUGUGUCCUUAAUUAAUAGAAAUAUUCUUUUCAAAAGUUUUUCUAGUGUAGAACACUAUUUUUGAUUGAUUGAGGUUAUAACAAAACCACAUUUUGACAGCCUAUUGAAACACCACCUUAAAAACGUUUUAGAGUGAUAUAUCAACACUAUUUUUGCCUUCAUCUUAACUAGUUAAGAAUUGCAUUACUCUUCAUGUAAAGUGAAACUGACUGUAUGCUCCUGAGCAUAGAACACGUGUACCUCUAUGCUAAUGCUAGUCUUAUAAAAAAUGUUGUAAGUGUAUAACUUUGAAUAUCUUGGAAUGUUAAUUAAUGGUUCUCUGUUUGAAGUGUUGGUGUUGUCAGAUUUUAUACAGUUUUUAAUGUUAUACUUUUAUUAAUCUUUUCAGUAUUCCCUCCCGUUUUAAUACAAUUAAUUAUAUUAAAUUUAUAAUCUGAACCAUAUGUCUAAAUGGUUUUUAGUAAUUUGGGUUUAUAUAAAAUAAAAGUUUGUGAAUUCAUAUAAAAUUAGAUAAAAACAUACUUGGAAUGAAAACAAAUUUAUGUUUUGAAUGUAAUAAUUCAUUUAUAUGACUAUUUUAAUAUUUGUUUAAAGUUUUUUUGGUAAUUCCUGUCUUUAAAGUACAUGUUUACCUAGAGUUAUUAAAACUAAUUUGUAUAUGGACUUUAUCACUAUAUACCUGAAUUGUAUUAAUUUUUAAAAAAGGAAUCACAAUUUUAUUUUGGUCAGAUAUAAUUAAAAUGUUAUGAAAUGUUUAGUUUAAUUUUAAAUUAUUUUAAUGUAAUCAGUUUUCUUAAUAGAAAAAAAAAACAGGACCAAACACAAUAAAUCUUGGAUUUUAUUAAAUUUAUAAAUUAAAAUAGGUUAAAAAGAGGUCCAAAUAAUCUUUUUCCCUAGCAAUCUAAAUUCAGUAUCAAUAGUGAAUAAUAAAGAUAUCAACAACACAUGAAAUAGGUAAAUUUUUAACAACAAAGCCCUUUCAGUGAAACAUUUAAACAUUUUAGUUUAAAAAGAGGUACAGAAAAAUUGUUAUAAAAUGUUGUAAUAUAAUUACUUAAUCUUGAUCUUCCAUUCACGAUCUCCUGCCACUUGUUUGUCCCCACUUGCUCAAAUUGUUUAUAUGUAUUAAAUGUAAACAAGACCACGAUCAUCAACUGCUUAUUCUAUUAGUGAAGAGUCUCCUUGUGUCUGGUCUCAGAUGAGUGCUAUAAGACAGUUUGGUCGUCUGACCUUGUUCUAGUGUUCUUAUUUAUUGAAGGUAGAUCUGUACUAAAUUUUAAAUCACAAUACAUGGUUUUAUGUACAUAUUUGUUAACAUUAACGUGUGGUUCUGGUGUAUGAACACCCUAACUCUGUGCUGUGGAGGUCAUGUUGUUACACAUCCUAGAAAAAAAACUAAUGAUUAUCCUAGAUUAUUGAUGAAUGAUGCAGUUAUAACUUCUUAAGAACUCAGUAAUCUGCAUCCCUUGAUUGUGUACAGAGAGAAUACAAUAUUAUUCUCAGCAGUUAAUAAUUUUAACAGAACCAACAAUACUCUGGAUGAUCCUUUCACAAUACAUUUUGAAAAAUAUAAAAGCUUUUUAGAAAAUAUGGUCUAUUUCACUAUAAAUACUCUCAAUACAUAAAGAUGUUUUCAGUCAUGGAAAACUUAAAGUUGCAACAGCCAAUUACUAUUCUACUUAGUUUUUUGAAGGAAGGAAUGAGUUUUCCAUUCUCCAAAUUGGUACUAGCUAUACUUUAUAAAGUGUCCCUUAGCUUGUCACCAUCUUUGAGAUUUAGUAACUAUUAAAUUUUAAUCCAAAAAAACUGGUGAAAAUCACUCAGUGCUACGUUAGGCGUGUCCAAAGAAAGGUCUUAUUUGGAACUCACUACAUUCUAGACUGAAUAUAUUCAAUGGUUUCAAGUAAAAAAAAACAGGUGAACUUUGCCAAAUCAGUGUAUAAUUCCAUGGAUUGGAAUGUUGAGUUUAGCUCCUUUUCACCUUCCGCUUAGUGCAGCGUCUGAAAUCUGGUGUUGUCACAGACUUUACUCCUGGAAUCUUGAGUUAUGUCCAUUUAAAGAGAUCUAAAAGAAGUUGGAGACAAAGAUACUCAAAAUGAACUCUUUGCAUUGUUUCAACAUCAGAGACAUCUAGACUAUAAAAGAGAUCUGUCUGGUUUAGCUAACAGUCAUCCAGUGUAAUCUAUAUGAAGAGCUGUUAUUCUUGCCUCAUCAUGUGCACAAUUGCAUCUUUUAAACACAUGUAUGUUUAUUUAUUUACACUUUUCAUAGCCUUUCAAUUCAGUAGUUUUUUUGUGCUAUUAUCACUUUUGGUAUCACUGCUAUUGUCAUUAGUACUAUUAGACAUUUCAAGAUUUUAAAUUAUUGUGCUUUUUAUUUGAUUUAACUUUGUUCACUACCAUUUUCUGGCAUAAAUUUUCAAUAAACACCUUAAAGUCAUUUGAAUUUUCAAAGGCAUUUUUAUGGUUUCAAGAAGUAAUUUUGACUAUUGUUUACAAACCGACAGAUGAUAUCUGUUUUGUUAAGGUGUUUUAGAAGCAAUAGCAGAGGUUCUGCAGCAACAAAUAGAAAUAAAAACGUUGAAUAGACAUAAAAACAACAAAAUAUACAGGCAUAGUGAGUACAAUCUAGUGAAAAACAUUUAACUACAUUGUGGUUGUGUUUCCACACGUUUCAUCUUUAGUUAUUGUGAGUUGUAUAUGUGAGUUGUAGAGCAUACUGCACCCGUUUUUAAUCUUAUUAAUUUGUCUGAAUUAAAAAAAACCCUUGUUUACGUGUGGCAACAUACUAAUAUAGGGUAACACUUGGUAACAAAGAAUACAAUUUUCAUACAACACUAUUGUUCAUAAUAUUUUUUCCAUAUAUUGUAGGAAGUAGAAAAGACUGUGUAUUUUCACAUUAAAACUGAUUAAAACUUGUAACUCAUAAUGGGAGUUUUUAUGAAUGUAGAUGUUUUAUUUAUAAAUGCAGAGCAAAAAAAUUAGUUUAGUAGCCUUCCUACGGCACUGUCAGAUUCAUACUGAGCGAGGUGACCUGUUACACAGAAAUCACAAUCCUUCACACACCACACAAUAUCAUAACUUUUAAAAUCCUUUUUGCUCUUAUAUUUGAUAGAAAAGAGGAGUAAUUUAAUAUGUGAUUUCUUCUUCUGUAUUAUUCUUUGAAUACAAAUUGUUUUCCAAUAUCAAUAAUUGCUCAUUAUCUGGUUGUAGAGUCAUAUUUUUCAAUAUUGUACUAUUGAUGUAAUUUUGUCAUCUAAGUGUAACUAUUUGUAAAUAAAAUACUCAUUUUGUUACAUACUUCA
rnacentral:misc_RNA from 1 species